CGUAGGGUGCGAGCGUUGUCCGGAAUUAUUGGGCGUAAAGAGCUCGUAGGCGGUUUGUCACGUCUGCUGUGAAAUCCCGAGGCUCAACCUCGGGUCUGCAGUGGGUACGGGCAGACUGGAGUGCGGUAGGGGAGAAUGGAAUUCCUGGUGUAGCGGUGGAAUGCGCAGAUAUCAGGAGGAACACCGAUGGCGAAGGCAGUUCUCUGGGCCGUAACUGACGCUGAGGAGCGAAAGCGUGGGGAGCGAACAGGAUUAGAUACCCUGGUAGUCCACGCCGUAAACGUUGGGCGCUAGAUGUGGGGACCUUUCCACGGUUUCCGUGUCGUAGCUAACGCAUUAAGCGCCCCGCCUGGGGAGUACGGCCGCAAGGCUA
rnacentral:rRNA from 1 species